rnacentral:rRNA from 1 species
GACGAACGCUGGCGGCGUACCUAAUACAUGCAAGUAGGACGCAGUUGCGAACGGGUGAGUAACGCGUAGGUAACUACCUAUUAGAGGGGGAUAACUAUUGGAAACGAUAGCUAAUCCCGCAUACUAGUAGAUGGACCUGCGUUGUAUUAGCUAGUAGGUCGGGUAAUGGCCUAACUAGGCAACGAUACAUAGCCGCCCUGCGAGGGAGAUCGGCAACACGGGGACGGAGACAGGGCCCAGACUCCUAAGGGAGGGAGCAGGAGGGAAUGUUCGGCAAUGGGGGGAACCCUGACCGAGCAACGCCGCGUGAGUGAAGAAGGUUUUCGGAUCGUAAAGCUCUGUUGUUAAGGAAGCGGUACUUAACCAGAAAGGGACGGCUAACUACGUGCCAGCCGCGGCGGUAAUAC